rnacentral:lncRNA from 1 species
UAAGCGCUAUUUAGCCCAUUGAGGUAAUUCCUGUUUUCCUUUUUCUUAUUCUAGAGACACUAGUUAAUUCAUAAAUAAUUCAUUUGACUCCAAAUUUGAUGAUUCAAAGUCCUACUGGAUCAUAAAAUCAUAACUUAUCCAAAUAUGUGCUUUGCACAUUUUCCAAAGGUAUUUUCUGUAGUGUUAACAUUCAAAUUAAAAUUUCAAUAUUUUAAACCC